rnacentral:rRNA from 1 species
UACGAGCGCACCCUUGUCCUUAUUUGCCAGCGCGUAAUGGCGGGAACUCUAAGGAGACUGCCGGUGACAAACCGGAGGAAGGUGGGGACGACGUCAAGUCAUCAUGGCCCUUACGAGUAGGGCUACACACGUGCUACAAUGGUCGGUACAAAGGGUUGCCAACUCGCGAGAGUGAGCCAAUCCCGAAAAGCCGAUCUCAGUCCGGAUCGGAGUCUGCAACUCGACUCCGUGAAGUCGGAAUCGCUAGUAAUCGUGGAUCAGAAUGCCACGGUGAAUACGUUCCCGGGCCUUGUACACACCGCCCGUCACACCAUGGGAGUGGACUGCACCAGAAGUGGUUAGCCUAACGCAAGAGGGCGAUCACCACGGUGUGGUUCAUGACUGGGGUGAAGUCGUAACAAGGUAACCCUAGGGGAACCUGGGGUUGGAUCACCUCCUU